CCAAUAGCGUAUAUUAAAGUUGUUGUGGUUAAAAAGCUCGUAGUUGAACCUUGGGCCUGGCUGGCCGGUCCGCCUCACCGCGUGUACUGGUCCGGCCGGGCCUUUCCCUCUGUGGAACCUCAUGCCCUUCACUGGGUGUGACGGGGAAGCAGGACUUUUACUGUGAAAAAAUUAGAGUGCUCCAAGCAGGCCUAUGCUCGAAUACAUUAGCAUGGAAUAAUAAAAUAGGACGUGCGGUUCUAUUUUGUUGGUUUCUAGGACCGCCGUAAUGAUUAAUAGGGACGGUCGGGGGCAUCAGUAUUCAAUUGUCAGAGGUGAAAUUCUUGGAUUUAUUAAAGACUAACUUCUGCGAAAGCAUUUGCCAAGGAUGUUUUCAUUAAUCAAGAACGAAAGUUAGGGGAUCGAAGACGAUCAGAUACCGUCGUAGUCUUAACCAUAAACUAUGCCGACUAGGGAUCGGAUGAUGUUAAUUUUUUAAUGACUCAUUCGGCGCCUUACG
rnacentral:misc_RNA from 1 species